AAUGAAUGCUAAACAAGCAAGUUUUGGUUGAAAUUGUUGACUUUUUAAAAACACUUUUGAUGAAAUGGAACUUCUCCCAAAAGCUUGAUUAUUUUUUCACCGCUCCAACACACGGUACUUUCCCUUCUCCGGUUAUCCCUUCUCUUUCAUUUUCUUUUUUUCUUCCAUUUUCUCCAAGGUUUUUGCUGCUCUCUCCCUCUCUUUCUUCUACUCCCCUAAUCUCAUCUUUGCAUUUUAACUCCCUAUUUAACUUUCUCGUUUUUCCCCAUUUAAGGUUAAACUCUUUCUAAUUACUGCUGAGUUUGGUUGCUCUCCAUUUCAGGUUAACUUUCUCGUUUCACCUUUGAUUUUCUCAAGUUUUCUAUUUGGUUGCUGAGUUUGAUUCUUUUGCUGAGUUUGAUUUUCUUAAGACUUAAAAGAGUCCUAAUAAUGGCAAACACACGGAACAAUUAACCCCUAAUCAAAGAGAAACAGUGAAAAAUGGGAAUUCCCUACAACAUUAUUUAUGUGAGCAGAAAGAAUUUAUUAAGAAAUAAAAGAUAACAAAACUUGACAGGGUUUUUAACAACGAAGCCUUCAUCAAUUACCAUACUACGUUUUUAAAGAUUGAAAAGAAAAAAGGUAGCUAUUAUCCUUGGGACCAAUUCUUUUCUUGCUCCUGAUUGGUUUUUGGCUGCCAAAUUUGUUUGGCUUCAAGGUUCAAAAACUUUCACGAUCUCUCUCUUUCAAGGAAAAUCCAGAUUGAAAAUCAUCGUUCUGGUUCCAAGUAUGUCCCUUUUUUUCUCUUGGAAAAGAAUGAACUUUUCUUUGUGUUCUUUGAAAGUUCAAUUCCGUGGUUGUCUUUUUGGUUUUCUUCUUUCUUUCUUUUUUUUGUUUCAUUAAUAGCUGUGAUUAAAGCUCGAUUAAGGUUGUUGGCUUGAAAUGGCGUUAAGCUAUUCCAAGACAUGAACUUUUUCUUUUUCUUUUUUUCAUGGUAAAAGGGGAUGUUGGGAAAUAUUUAUAGCUUGGGAUUUCAUGCUAAUGGAAACAUUGAUAUAUUUUCAGGUGUAUUUGGUUAGGAAGAAUAUCUGAUUUUGCUUGGUUCUGUUAGAACAAAGUCAGCAGCAACAAGUUAUUUGCUUAAGAACUAAAUGAAACCGAGAGCAAAAAUGAAAAGAACUUGAGCACAAGCACAAAACAUGGAUCAAAAUCAGCAGCAAUCUUUAUUGAUUGAUAAUGAAAAAAUAAAUACAAAGUUAACAAGUCAAAUGACCAUUACCUAAUGAUUCACCUACUCCCACUAAUAAUCAACUAAUACAAGUUAAAUUUUAAACCAAAGCAAGCUGAUGUAUCAGUCAUUACAUCCAUUACAUCAAAAAUCCUACUAACUUAGAUUACAAAUUACAAACAAACUAAAGUUGGUUACAUUGGAACAAAAAGAACAAAAUUAGUCCUAAGCUAGUUGCUGCAUUCGGUUCUGCUCCACAGCUGGUCUGCUUGCUGACUUGCUGGCCAUAUGUUGCAUUGCAGGCCAAUGCUUAACAGUGCAAAUUGGAAGAUGACUUGUCUUUCUUCUUCAAAGAUGUGCAUGAUGGAAAAAGUGAUAAUGAUGAUGAUGAUAAUGGCGAGCCAAACAAUUCAAGUGGUUUUGAAAUGGAAUUAAUAAGAGAUAUUAUAGUUUUUUGUUUAAUAAA